AAACACCUACGGGACGCAGCAGUGAGGAAUAUUGGUCAAUGGCCGAGAGGCUGAACCAGCCAAGUCGCGUGAGGGAUGACGGCCCUACGGGUUGUAAACCUCUUUUGUCGGAGAACAAAACCCGGGACGUGUCCCGGACUGCGUGUAUCCGAAGAAAAAGCAUCGGCUAACUCCGUGCCAGCAGCCGCGGUAAUACGGAGGAUGCGAGCGUUAUCCGGAUUUAUUGGGUUUAAAGGGUGCGUAGGCGGUCCGUUACGUCAGCGGUCAAAUUGCGGGGCUCAACCCCGUCGAGCCGUUGAAACUGG
rnacentral:rRNA from 1 species